rnacentral:rRNA from 1 species
GGGUAGUUUGACUGGGGCGGUCUCCUCCUAAAGAGUAACGGAGGAGCACGAAGGUUGGCUAAUCCUGGUCGGACAUCAGGAGGUUAGUGCAAUGGCAUAAGCCAGCUUGACUGCGAGCGUGACGGCGCGAGCAGGUGCGAAAGCAGGUCAUAGUGAUCCGGUGGUUCUGAAUGGAAGGGCCAUCGCUCAACGGAUAAAAGGUACUCCGGGGAUAACAGGCUGAUACCGCCCAAGAGUUCAUAUCGACGGCGGUGUUUGGCACCUCGAUGUCGGCUCAUCACAUCCUGGGGCUGAAGUAGGUCCCAAGGGUAUGGCUGUUCGCCAUUUAAAGUGGUACGCGAGCUGGGUUUAGAACGUCGUGAGACAGUUCGGUCCCUAUCUGCCGUGGGCGCUGGAGAACUGAGGGGGGCUGCUCCUAGUACGAGAGGACCGGAGUGGACGCAUCACUGGUGUUCGGGUUGUCAUGCCAAUGGCACUGCCCGGUAGCUAAAUGCGGAAGAGAUAAGUGCUGAAAGCAUCUAAGCACGAAACUUGCCCCGAGAUGAGUUCUCCCUGACUCCCUGAGAGUCCUGAAGGAACGUUGAAGACGACGACGUUGAUAGGCCGGGUGUGUAAGCGCAGCGAUGCGUUGAGCUAACCGGUACUAAUGAACCGUGAGGCUUAACCUU